AUUUGUCAUAUCUAUUAUUUUUAUUAAAGCGUAAUUAAAUCCGUUCUCGGUAUGCCUAGUGCAGCAGGUUCAUGAAGGAGAUGUACUCAGUCUCUAAAAAUAAUUGAAGAGCUGAUAAAUGAAAUAGGGGAUCGGACUAAAUUUUUG